rnacentral:rRNA from 1 species
AGGACGAACGCUGGCGGCGUGCUUAACACAUGCAAGUCGAACGAGAGGACAUGGGAAGCUUGCUUCCUAUGAAAUCGAGUGGCAAACGGGUGAGUAACGCGUAAACAACCUGCCCUUCGGAUGGGGAUAACAGCCGGAAACGGCUGCUAAUACCGAAUACGAUCUUUUCGUCGCAUGACGAAAAGAAGAAAGGAUGGCCUCUAUACAAAGCUAUCGCCGAAGGAGGGGUUUGCGUCUGAUUAGCUGGUUGGAGGGGUAACGGCCCAACAAGGCGAUGAUCAGUAGCCGGUCUGAGAGGAUGAACGGCCACAUUGGGACUGAGACACGGCCCAGACUCCUACGGGAGGCAGCAGUGGGGAAUCUUCCGCAAUGGACGAAAGUCUGACGGAGCAACGCCGCGUGAGUGAAGAAGGUUUUCGGAUCGUAAAACUCUGUUGUAAGAGAAGAACAAAUUGUAGAGUAACUGCUACAGUCUUGACGGUAUCUUACCAGAAAGCCACGGCUAACUACGUGCCAGCAGCCGCGGUAAUACGUAGGUGGCAAGCGUUGUCCGGAUUUAUUGGGCGUAAAGGGGGCGCAGGCUGCUUCUUAAGUCUGAUGUGAAAGCCCACGGCUUAACCGUGGAAGUGCAUUGGAAACUGGGAAGCUUGAGUACAGAAGAGGAAAGUGGAACUCCAUGUGUAGCGGUGGAAUGCGUAGAUAUAUGGAAGAAUACCAGUGGCGAAAGCGACUUUCUGGUCUGUCACUGACGCUGAGGCCCGAAAGCGUGGGUAGCAAACAGGAUUAGAUACCCUGGUAGUCCACGCCGUAAACGAUGAGCGCUAGGUGUUGGAGGGUUUCCACCCUUCAGUGCCGCAGCUAACGCAUUAAGCGCUCCGCCUGGGGAGUACGACCGCAAGGUUGAAACUCAAGGAAUUUGACGGGGACCCGCACAAGCGGUGGAGCAUG